UACGUAGGGUGCGAGCGUUGUCCGGAAUUAUUGGGCGGAAAGAGCUCGUAGGCGGUUUGUCGCGUCGGCCGUGAAAUCUCCACGCUUAACGUGGAGCGUGCGGUCGAUACGGGCAGACUUGAGUUCGGUAGGGGAGACUGGAAUUCCUGGUGUAGCGGUGAAAUGCGCAGAUAUCAGGAGGAACACCGGUGGCGAAGGCGGGUCUCUGGAACGGUACUGACGCUGAGACGCGAAAGCGUGGGGAGCGAACAGG
rnacentral:rRNA from 1 species